rnacentral:rRNA from 1 species
CCUACGGGUGACAGCAGUGGGGAAUAUUGCACAAUGGGGGAAACCCUGAUGCAGCGACGCCGCGUGUGUGAAGAAGUAUUUCGGUAUGUAAAGCUCUGUCAGCAGGGAAGAAAAUGAUGGUACCUGACCAAGAAGCCCCGGCUAACUACGUGCCAGCAGCCGCGGUAAUACGGAGGGGGCAAGCGUUAUCCGGAUUUACUGGGGGUAACGGGAGCGUAGACGGCAGGGCAAGUCUGGAGUGAAAGGCGGGGGCUCAACCCCCGGACUGCUCUGGAAACUGCCAGGCUGGAGUGCAGGAGAGGUGAGUGGAAUUCCAAGUGUAGCGGUGAAAGGCGUAGAUAUUAGGAGGAACACCAGUGGCGAAGGCGGCUUACUGGACUGUAACUGACGUUGAGGCUCGAAAGCGUGGGGAGCAAACAGGAUUAGAUACCCUAGUAGUC